UUAAAUUGAAGAGUUUGAUCAUGGCUCAGAUUGAACGCUGGCGGCAGGCCUAACACAUGCAAGUCGAACGGUAACAGGAAGCAGCUUGCUGCUUUGCUGACGAGUGGCGGACGGGUGAGUAAUGUCUGGGAAACUGCCU
rnacentral:rRNA from 8 species